AGUAAAAACUAUUUGCAAAGUUAACAGAGCCCCUGAGUAUAUAUUAUGAAUAUUUCUGAGUUUUAAUUAAUAAUUAUUUUUGGGAGGUUUUGGAGAGUGUCCAACAUCUUGCUCCUUAUUAACCAUUGAGCACAUCUGAAGGAGCAUUGCCACAAGAACACGGCAUCCGUCAUCAUGGACUCCUACUGUCCAGGGUGAAAUGGCAGCACUGCUUCACUAUGAGAUGAGCUCAACGCCUUCUAUGCCCGCUUUGAAAGGGUGAAGAUCCCUGCUGCACCCGGUGACCCUGUAACCCCUGCCUCAGAGGCUGAUGUUAAGCUGUCUUUAAGGAGGGUGAACCUUCGCAAGGCAGCAGGCCCACAUGGGGUUCCUGGUGGCUGGGAUCCUGUCGAAGUCCGUGAUCGGCAGCUGCACUCAAACUGUGGUUCUUCGCGGCAGUGAGUUCUCGCAGAGCUUGACGAGCAGCCUGGUGUUCUUCAGUAUUUCCAGGUGCCACUGACGGAAGCGCCGCAGGAGUUGGAAACACUGAGUCAGCAGAGCAUGCUCCUGUCAAAAUAAGACAACACUGCAGUUUGUAACGUCGAGGUGGCGAGCUGGUGGUCUCCCUCUAGCUGUGUUUCAGGAGUGAAACAUACCUCGUUAGUGAGAGCAAGCAUCUGUUUGAGAUAUCCAAGUGUUGGAAUAAUGGACUCUAGAUAAUGGACUUGCAAGCUGGCUUGUUGGG